UGAGUACGCGGGGUCUGCCUCUCCGCUCCGGCGGUCAGAGUGGCCCUAAGCUGCGCAACGUCCAGCGACUGUGGCCCGCGACAUAUGACUGAACCGCACGGUGCGCAGGGUGUGUAUGGCUGGGGAAACGACCAAGGGCUGUGGAACCCUCGCCGCACCCGACCUCACAGGACGCGACUACCAGGACCCACAGGGACCGCCGUCCCUGCCACCCCGCCACCGCCCCACUCACCCAGGCCGCCAUCCGCAGCUCUCCGCCGAGGGUGACCGGAGUAGGAGUAAUAGUGGGACCCGCCUUUGACGCCCGAGGGGGACAGUGGCCCCGGGCUGCUGAGGGCCAGCUCGCUGGGCAGGAAGCUGGCCUGAGGGAGGGGGAAGGUUAGCAGCUGGUCCCCUGCCCAGCCCCCAGGCCAUUCUGGUUUAAAACAACAAAGGCAAGAGCGAGGGCCCAGGCCAAUGGCAGGGUCCUGGGGUGACAGUGACCUGGGGCAUAGGUCCCUCCCUGCUGACACCGCUGGCGUUUCUCUUAUCUAGGAUACCACCGAUUCAUUUUCAUGAAGGAAAAAGAGGGAGAGAGACACACCGUCAAGCCUGAAGAUGUGUUGCUGUCUGGGCGCUAAACGGGCACAACUAUGCUUCAGAUGUCAAGGGAAUCUGUGUGUUUUACUUCGUACGUAUCCCCCCCCCCUUUUUUUUCUUAAGGUAAAUGGUUUAAUCUCGCA